GCCAGGCGUGGUGGCACACACCUGUAAUCCCAGCUACUCAGGAGGCUGAGACAGGAGAAUCGCUUGAACCCAGGAGGCGGAGGUUGCAGUGAGCCGAGAUUGCGCCACUGCACUCCAGCCUGGGUGACAGAGCGAGACUCUGUCUCAA
rnacentral:SRP_RNA from 1 species